rnacentral:misc_RNA from 1 species
GGAGGGGGGCAUGUGCACGUCUGCUUCCCCUGAUUCCUUUCUCUCUUUCUCUGUUCCACCUUACACCUGUGCACUCGUAGUAGGUCCUCGAAAGAGGACCUAUGUGUUUUCUUUCUGCGUCACGCGCCCGUCGUAUGUCUAUAGAAUGUGUCGGAAAUGAAAUCAUACAACUUUCAGCAACGGAUCUCUUGGCUCUCGCAUCGAUGAAAAACGCAGCGAAUUGCGAUAAGUAAUGUGAAUUGCAAAUUUUCAGUGAAUCAUCGAAUCUUUGAACGCACCUUGCGCUCCUUGGUAUUCCGAGGAGCAUGCCUGUUUGAGUGUCAUCAAAUUCUCAAUCCGUGUCCUCGAUCUUGCCGUCAAGGCCAUGGCUUGGAUGUUUGGGGGUUGCUGGCCUUGUCGGCUCUCCUGAAAUGCAUUAGCAUGGGGUGGGCGAGUCUUUUCGACGUGCACGGCCUCUCGACGUGAUAAUGAUC